CCUCACCUUAGCAGCAGUAUGUGUUUUCAUCUCCCCUUCAGCCAGCAGCACACCCACUUUGCAGUCAAUCUAGCUUCCACCCUCCCCAUCUGAGCUAAUCUCCCAGAUGGUAUUUAAUCAAAUGCUUUCUCCAAGCCAGCAUGGAUGAGCUCUACUGCACUCUCUGCAUCUAUAAAGUCAAUUAUGUUCCUGAUCUUACUUUGAUAAGUCCAUACUGCUUGUUAUAUCAUUUACUGCCAUUAUACUUUUCUUCCACGUCUGUUCUGAAAUCUUACCUGUUCUUAAGUUUUUGAGGCGUUUGGAGCUCUUCUCUGUGGGCAUUUCUCCUGGCUGGAGGGAGAAAUUGUUAUUAGUCCUUUCGUAUCAGGCAAGGACAGCUUAAGCCUUCCAUAUCCAAGUCCUUUCAGAGGUGUCCAACAUGUUAAAGUUUCUAUCUUAUCAAUACCAGCUGUAUUCUUCCUUCUCUUCUCCAUUACAAUGCUCUCCCCUACUUUCCUUCUGCAUUUGAGGGACCUUCUGACUCUGCUGGAUGGCCUCAGGUGAGGAAGCAGCAGCAGAAGCAGCAGUGCUACCCCCAGGUGUCCUGCAGCUCUCAGGGCUUCCAGCUCACAGUUGCAGGCGAUGUUGGCAGGAGAACAAAUGGGUAUAAAAUGACCACAAAUGCAUUUAACCUGGAAAUGAAUAGGAAGCUUCUAAUAAUCGCAGCCAUAAUGUUCCCACUACAUUCCCGCAGGACCAGUGCCAAAUACAUUUGAGAACUUGUGAAUCUUGUAUGGUGCCUCAGCAAGCCUGGAGAAGAACUUGCUUGAAGUGGAUGCAGUGGAAAGGACUUUUUGAAGGAUGUAAUUUGCAAGGGUUUAUCGAAGUUUUCUUUGAUUUCACUGCCUGAAAGUACAUCUCAUUCAGAUGAGAAUGAAAUUAAACCUGAAAAAAAAUGGAAUUUUGUGUUGAACUGAUUCUGGGAAACUAUGAAUUUUAUUGCUAAU